rnacentral:rRNA from 1 species
CUGAUCCCUUCCCGCACUCAGAAGUGAAACCUCUUAGCGCUGAUGGUAGUGUGGGAUUACCCAUGUGAGAGUAAGUCAUCGCCAGCU